rnacentral:rRNA from 1 species
GACGAACGCUGGCGGCGUGCCUAAUACAUGCAAGUCGAACAGUGGCGGACGGGUGAGUAACACGUGAGUAACCUGCCCUCCACUUUGGGAUAACUCCGAGCAAUCGGGGCUAAUACUGGAUAGUGGGGGAUGGGCUCGCGGCCUAUCAGUUUGUGGGUGUGGUAGUGGUCACCAAGGCGUGACGGGUAGCCGGCCUGAGAGUGCUACCGUCCACCCUGGGACUGAGACACGGCCCAGACUCCUACCGGAGGCAGCAGUGGGGAAUAUUGCACAAUGGGCGAAAGCCUGAUGCAGAGAAGCCGCGUGGGGGGUGACGGCCGUCGGGUUGUAAACCUCUUUCAGCAAGGAAGCGGUACUUGCAGAAGAAGCGCCGGCUAAGUACGUGCCAGGAGCGGAGGUAAUUC